rnacentral:rRNA from 1 species
CGGCGGUUAUCCCGGCCGGUGGAUGGCUCGGCUCGGGCGCCGACGAAGGGCGUGCCAAGCUGCGAUAAGC